rfam:Fonticula alba strain ATCC 38817 unplaced genomic scaffold supercont2.1, whole genome shotgun sequence.
GGCCCCUUAGCUCAGUUGGAUAGAGCGUGUGACUUCUAAUCACAAGGUCUUGGGUUCGAUCCCCAAAUGGGUCU